rnacentral:rRNA from 1 species
AUUAUCGCUGGCGGCAUGCCUAAUACAUGCAAGUCGAACGAGAAUAUUUAUAUUCUAGUGGCGAACGGGUGAGUAAUGCAUAUCUAACUUGCCCCAAAGUGAGGAAUAACUAUUAGAAAUGAUAGCUAAUACCUCAUAGAAUACAGGAAGGCAUCUUCUUGUGUCUAAAGGAGCGUUUGCUUCGCUUUGGGAUAGGGAUAUGUUGCAUUAGUUAGUUGGUGAGGUAAGGGCUCACCAAGACGAUGAUGCAUAGCCGGUCUGAGAGGAUGAACGGCCACAAUGGGACUGAGACACGGCCCAUACUCCUACGGGAGGCAGCAGUAGGGAAUUUUCCACAAUGGACGAAAGUCUGAUGGAGCAAUGCCGCGUGAGGGAUGAAGGUCUUCGGAUUGUAAACCUCUGUUGUAAAGGAAGAAUAGGUAGAAGAGGAAAUGCUUUUAUUUUGACGGUACUUUACCAGAAAGUCACGGCUAACUAUGUGCCAGCAGCCGCGGUAAUACAUAGGUGGCAAGCGAUAUCCGGAUUUAUUGGGCGUAAAGAGUGCACAGGUGGUUUAUUAAGUCUAGAUUUUAAUGCUGAAGCUCAACUUCAGUCCGGUCUAGAAACUGGUAAACUAGAAUACAGGUGGGGGUAAUGGAAUUUCGUGUGUAGCGGUGGAAUGCAUAAAUAUACGAAAGGAACACCAGUGGCGAAGGCGGUUGCCUGACYKKWAAUUGACACUUAAGCACGAAAGCGUGGGGAGCAAAUAGGAUUAGAUACCCUAGUAGUCCACGCCGUAAACGAUCUAUACUAGCUGUCGGCAGAAGUCGGUGGCACAGCUAACGCAUUAAGUAUAGCGCCUGGGUAGUAUGCACGCAAGUGUGAAACUCAAAGGAAUUGACGGGGACCCGCACAAGCGGUGGAUCAUGUGGUUUAAUUCGACGAUACGCGAAGAACCUUACCAACAUUUGACAUACUCAGCAAUGCUAUGGAGACAUAGCGGAGGUUAACUGAUGUACAGGUGGUGCAUGGUUGUCGUCAGCUCGUGUCGUGAGAUGUUCGGUUAAGUCCGGCAACGAGCGCAACCCUUAUCCUAUGUUACCAGCAUUUAGUUGGGGACUCAUGGGAGACUGCCUGGGUAACCAGGAGGAAGGUGAGGAUGACGUCAAAUCAUCAUGCCCCUUAUAUGUUGGGCUACACACGUGAUACAAUGGCCAGUACAAAGGGCUGCAAUACUGUGAAGUGGAGCAAAUCCCAUAAAGCUGGUCCCAGUUCGGAUCGAAGUCUGCAACUCGACUUCGUGAAGUUGGAAUCGCUAGUAAUCGUAGGUCAGCCAUACUACGGUGAAUACGUUCCCGGGUCUUGUACACACCGCCCGUCAAACCACGAAAGUCGGUAAUGCUUGAAACCGCUGUUCUAACCAAUUUAUUUUGGAGGAAGGCGUCUAGGGUAGGAUUGAUGAUUGGGGUUAAGUCGUAACAAGGUAGCCGUAAUCUCUA